rnacentral:rRNA from 1 species
UACGUAGGGGGCAAGCGUUGUCCGGAAUUAUUGGGCGUAAAGAGCGCGUAGGCGGUCCGGUAAGUCGGGUGUGAAAUCUUGGAGCUUAACUCCGAAACUGCAUUCGAUACUGCCGUGCUUGAGGACUGGAGAGGAGACUGGAAUUUACGGUGUAGCGGUGAAAUGCGUAGAUAUCGUAAGGAAGACCAGUGGCGAAGGCGGGUCUCUGGACAGUUCCUGACGCUGAGGCACGAAGGCCAGGGGAGCAAACGGG